AUUUAUAUAGUUUAAAUAAAACAAUACAUUUUCAUUGUAUAAAUAAUAUACUUUAUAUUUAUAAAUA
rnacentral:tRNA from 1 species